AUCCUCGACACACGUCCUGCUCCUUGGCUGGCAGUGACAGCAAGCCAGUUCAGGAAGCCUCCAGCGUUUCCAGAGUAGGCAGCAUCCCGCACGACCUUUGUCAUAAUGAGCUGUUUCCAUCAUGGACUAAAUAACUUAAAAGAAGUAAAACUGAUUGCACUAUUGUUUUCCAGACCGGGAAACCAAUCUCUGCAAGUAAAACUGUAUAGUUUAUAAAAUGACUGUGGACAGGGGACUGUUUUCACUUUUAGAUAAAAUGGGUUUUUAAGUAGAAACUAGGGUUUCUAAUUGACUCGAUUUCUGGAAAUGAAAACCCACACUUUUAUUAUGGGAUGCUUCCUCAAAUGCAUUUAUUAUUAUUAUAAAGUUUCAAGUCCUGCUGUAAAGACCAUGUUGUUUUGUUUUCCCCAGGGCUUUCACUGUGAUUUACUGCACUGCAGGCUGUAUGAUAAAAUAUAAAUAAUGUAAAGACAGAAGGCUCUUGAUUCCUUGUACAAGUGGAAGAGUUAAGACUUGAUCGAAGGACUUAAAACAUUCACAUGCUUAAACUGAGGUUGGGGGUGUGGGGAUUCAGGCACUUGUUUACAGACUUUGAAUAAAUGCAAAGAAUUUAUGGUUUGUGAAAAAUUUGUACUGUGGAAAA
rnacentral:lncRNA from 1 species